CAUCAUUGUUUGUCACUACCAUAGUUGGCAUCAAGCAAAGUUCUUACCUUCUUCAUCUCUUACUUUCAUCGCACCUUAUUCGACAUAGUAAACCUAAUAAGAAUAAAUACUUAUUCCCAUCGUCGUGGACGAGUAUCACCAACAAACCAAAAACUCAACAUCUCUGAUCGACUAAAUUAGGACGAAGCAGAUUAACCGCGGGAACCUGACUUAGUAGGUGUAGCCCUUCUGGAACAUUCCAGACUUGGCUUCCUCACUCUCCCCUUCGGCAGAGUAGCGCCCUAGCUGGGCCAUAGAGUUUGCCUUGGCACGGGCCAGCAGCGCUCUCUGUGCUGCCUCGACAUUCUCCGGGCGUCCCUGCCAUGUCUUCAGGACGGAAUUCUGGAGCGCUCGUGCAUAUGAGAACGAGACGUGCCACGGGUUGGGACUCUGGUUCAUCGCAUUCAGGUUCAGUGUCGCCUCCAUUUCUGACUGCCCACCGGACAAGAACAUAAUUCCAGGAACUGCAGGUGGUACCCUCCUGUUGAGCAUAGUGAGUGUAUGUUUAGCAAUGGUCUCUGGUGAGGCCUUCUCCUUGUGUUCAGCACCUGGGGUCACCAUACUGGGUUUCAGGAGGAUGCCCUCAAACACAACAUUGUUUUGGGCUAGGUAGUAGAACACCUCUGCCCACACAUUCUCAGCUACCUCGAGUGUCCUUCCAAUGGCGUGGUCGCCAUCUAGGAGAAUCUCAGGUUCCACUAUGGGUACAAGCCCAUUAUCCUGAGAAAUGGCAGCGUAUCGUGCAAGACCCCAUGCAGCCUCUUUAACAGCCAAUGCAGAAGGACCACACGGAAUGCUAACUACUGUUCGCCACUUAGCAAAACGUGCCCCUUGCUUGUAG
rnacentral:misc_RNA from 1 species